rnacentral:rRNA from 1 species
CAGUCGCCGCGGUAAUACAGAGGGUGCGAGCGUUAAUCGGAUUUACUGGGCGUAAAGGGUGCGUAGGCGGCUUGACAAGUCUUGUGUGAAAUCUAUGGGUUCAACCCAUAGUCUGCACGGGAAACUGUCGGGCUUGAGAAUGGGAGAGGUGAGUGGAAUUUCCGGUGUAGCGGUGAAAUGCGUAGAUAUCGGAAGGAACACCUGUGGCGAAAGCGGCUCACUGGACCAUUUCUGACGCUGAUGCACGAAAGCUAGGGGAGCAAACAGGAUUAGAUACCCCAGUAGUCCCUGUCUCUUAUAC